rnacentral:SRP_RNA from 1 species
CUCUCGGCUUUGCGGGCGCUCUCUAACUAACCCCGUCAGAUCUGGAAGGAAGCAGCGGUCCGUGCCGGGCGCGUGCCGUAGAUCACCGGGGGGUC